CUAAAGUUAUAUAUAUAUUUCUAUUUAUAAAUGCGCCGUAGGACUCGGGCGUAAACACAAUGUGUCUACAUUAUAGAAAGGUCACAAAGAUGUAGCAUUGUGGUGCGAUAGCAAAAUUAUCAACUCGGAAUGAAGACUCAUCUUUUUUAAAAUGACAAGAUGGACAAAAAGAUGAUUUUGCAUAUAUUAGUUGUAUUCGUUAUAAUUAACCUAUUACGGUAUCGGGAAUUUUUUCACACGAUAACAACAAGAAGGAAAAUAUCAGCAAGAACAACAGUCUAAUAAUAAAAAGAUCCAUAGGUUCAUUUCAAUAAUAAAGUGGACUCAACGUCUCCACCGAACUCAUCGUGGGGACGAAGAAAAAGAUCAAUUAUAUUAGAUGAAGAUCCGUUCUUUGAUUUUGAAUAGUGACUGAAAUCGCUGUUCACUCCCGGAAAAUAUACAACGUUCUUGCUACAUGAAAAAUAUGACGAUACGUUAUUUAAUUUUAUGACAACGAUUAUUUUAUCUGAUAUAAACAAAUUGUUAUCCUACACUUUUUAUAACAUCCAGAAACCCCACAAGAACUUUCUGACAGUUGUGAUAACUUUUCGACAAACUGA